AGCAAAGACAGUUGCAAGUAGUUGUAAUUUUGGACUCGUUCUCCUUAGCCUCCCAGGCUGGUACCAAGCCUUGUCAUAUCUUCCUCUAUGUUAUUCAGAAAAUUCAUACCUCUUGUAUUGGUUUCAGAAGCUUGGGGGCAGACAUGCGGGAGAUGAAGGGGCUUCUGUCUGUGUUUGCCUGCUACCAAAAGCCAGUAUUAUGCAUCCUCAUGCAAGAAUCCAAGGCUUUGGAAUGUUUUUUGACCCAGCACAGAACUAAGACAUUUUAAAAAGUAAAAAAAAAAAAAAAAAAGUCAAGUGGUGAUCCGACUAGAAGACACUGCAGCCUGGAUCCAAAAAGUCUUCUCCACAACCAGUCCAUUUUCACACAUGCACAGGCUGAUUUAUUUAAUCAAACUUUUUUUUUUUUCUAAA